CCCCUAGUAACGGCGAGUGAAGUGGGAAAAGCUCAACUUUGUAAUCUGGCAGCUUCGCUGUCCGAGUUGUAGUCUCGAGAAGUGUUUUCCGCGCUGGAUCGUGUAUGAGUCUGUUGGAAUACAGCGUCAUAGAGGGUGAGAACCCCGUUCGUGACACGACUACCAGUGCUUUGUGAUACAUUUUCGAUGAGUCGAGUUGUUUGGGAAUGCAGCUCAAAUUGGGUGGUAAAUUCCAUCUAAAGCUAAAUAUUGGCGAGAGACCGAUAGCAAACAAGUACCGUGAGGGAAAGAUGAAAAGCACUUUGGAAAGAGAGUUAACAGUACGUGAAAUUGUUGAAAGGGAAACGUUUGAAGUCAGACGUGCGUUGUGCGAUUCAGCUCCGGUUCGCCGGAGUGUAUUUCGUACUAUUGCAGGCCAGCAUCGGUUUGGCGAGCCGGAUAAAGGUUAGAGAAAGGUAGCGGU
rnacentral:rRNA from 1 species